UAAGGAAUAUUGGUCAAUGCGCGGCAGCCUGAACCAGCCAUGCCGCGUGCAGGAAGACGGCCCUACGGGUUGUAAACUGCUUUUGUACGGGAAUAAACCUCGAUAUGUAUAUCGAGCUGAAUGUACUGUAAGAAUAAGGAUCGGCUAACUCCGUGCCAGCAGCCGCGGUAAUACGGAGGAUCCAAGCGUUAUCCGGAUUUAUUGGGUUUAAAGGGUGCGUAGGUGGCCUGUUAAGUCAGUGGUGAAAGACGGUAGCUCAACUAUCGCAGUGCCUUUGAUACUGACGGGCUUGAAUACACUAGAGGUAGGCGGAAUGUGACAAGUAGCGGUGAAAUGCAUAGAUAUGUCACAGAACACCAAUUGCGAAGGCAGCUUACUAUGGUGCGAUUGACACUGAGGCACGAAAGCGUGGGGAUCAAA
rnacentral:rRNA from 1 species